ensembl:miRNA mdo-mir-199b-3 mdo-mir-199b-3
CCAGUGUUCAGACUACCUGUCCAGGAGAUUGCAAAGGUGUACAGUAGUCUGCACAUUGGUU